AAGAAUUCCCAUCUUGUGCAAGUACUAAGAAAAUAAAGUGGAAACUGUCUCCAUAUUGUCUUGGUGCCAUUUUGGGCUGUGUUGGAGAAGAGAUUGGAGGGUCUGUGUUUGACAACCAUGACAAAACUAAGCUUUCAAAACUGCAGCAAAUGAGUAUUCCCUGUAUGCAGAGAAGGUCUGCAAAGGUAAUAUCAUUGUGUGCUUCUCCUAUAUUUAUCCUUUGAAACAGAAUACUAGGGAGGAUGGACCUCAGCCAUGACCAGCAUGGCCAUUGUUACAAAUGUACCUGUACCAAAUUCUUGACUGUCUACCUCAUAGCAGUCUGCUAGGAAGCGAACUUGUGCUGGGGAAGGAGGAGGAAGUCUCCUGUACAUUCAUGCAACAGGUGCUUCUGUGAGCUGAAAUCCAAAGGCACCUAUGCCCAGGACUCCCCAGAUUGUCCUGCCCAACACAGCAUCAGCUCCUGCCUAUG